UACAGAGGUCUUGAGCGUUGUUCGGAUUCAUUGGGCGUAAAGGGCGCGUAGGCGGCGGGGUAAGUCUGGUGUGAAAUCUCGGAGCUCAACUCCGAAAUUGCACUGGAUACUGCUCUGCUAGAGGGCUGGAGAGGGGAUCGGAAUUCACGGUGUAGCAGUGAAAUGCGUAGAUAUCGUGAGGAAGACCAGUGGCGAAGGCGGCUCACUGGACUGGUAUUGACGUGAGGUGCGAAAGCGUGGGGAGCAAACAGG
rnacentral:rRNA from 1 species